rnacentral:lncRNA from 1 species
UGUAGCAAUUUCCCAAGUGAAUAAGUGGUGUAUUAAGUAGUUGUAUAUGCUCCAUUCAUCUCUUCUGAACACUUCUUUCUAGAUUUGCCAGUAGAAAGGACAUCACUCCAUCUGGUUUCCAGCCCAUGAAGAUCCCUAUGUAGGAGAUUUCUGGUUGUCCACUUCUUGGUGAUUCUGAAUUUGGUUUUUUCCUUUAGGUAUAGAGCCAUGGAAGAAGUAUUUGAUUGAUUCGUUUGUUUGCUUUUCUAAUUAACAUUUCUGUUAAAUAGUACGAACUUCCGUAAGACAAGACUACUUAACAGGAUUCACUUUGUCAUGGUCAAUCUUCCCCCCUCAUCAUCUUGCACAGGACCUUCCAUAGACCAGACUAGAGCAACUGGAAGAUAUUAUUAUUGUUACACUAACACUGAUGAGAUGGAAGAACUGGAAAAUCAAAUGCUUUACCAUUGUAAAACAGUAAAUCUG